rnacentral:rRNA from 1 species
UACGUAGGCAGCAAGCGUUGUUCGGAAUUACUGGGCGUAAAGAGUGUGUAGGCGGUGCUCUAAGUCUGUUGUGAAAUCUCCCGGCUUAACCGGGAGGGUGCGGCGGAAACUGGAGUGCUUGAGGGUGGGAGAGGUAAGCGGAAUUCCUGGUGUAGCGGUGAAAUGCGUAGAUAUCAGGAGGAACACCUGUGGUGUAGACAGCUUACUGGACCACUUCUGACGCUGAGGUGCGAAAGCGUGGGGAGCAAACAGG